rnacentral:rRNA from 1 species
UACGGGGGGGGCAAGCGUUGUUCGGAAUUACUGGGCGUAAAGGGCUCGUAGGCGGUCAACUAAGUCAGACGUGAAAUCCCCAGGCUCAACCUGGGAACUGCGUCUGAUACUGGUUGGCUUGAAUCCGGGAGAGGGAUGCAGAAUUCCAGGUGUAGCGGUGAAAUGCGUAGAUAUCUGGAGGAACACCGGUGGCGAAGGCGGCAUCCUGGACCGAGAUUGACGCUGAGGCGCGAAAGCCAGGGGAGCAAACGGG